UAAGACGGAGGAUGCAAGUGUUAUCCGGAAUUACUGGGCGUAAAGCGUCUGCAGGUGGUUUCUUAAGUCCACUGUUAAACCUUGAGGCUCAACCUCAAAUCAGCAUUGGAAACUAGGAGACUUGAGUAUAGUAGGGGUAGAGGGAAUUUCCAGUGGAGCGGUGAAAUGCGUAGAUAUUGGAAAGAACACCGAUGGCGAAGGCACUCUACUGGGCUAUUACUGACACUCAGAGACGAAAGCUAGGGGAGCAAAUGGG
rnacentral:rRNA from 1 species